UGGGAAUAUUGGGCAAUGGGGGAAACCCUGACCCAGCAACGCCGCGUGAAGGAAGAAGGCCCUCGGGUUGUAAACCUCUUUUACCAGGGACGAACACAAUGACGGUACCUGGAGAAAAAGCAACGGCUAACUACGUGCCAGCAGCCGCGGUAAUACGUAGGUUGCAAGCGUUGUCCGGAUUUACUGGGUGUAAAGGGCGUGUAGGCGGAGAUGCAAGUUGGGGGUGAAAUCUAUGGGCUCAACCCAUAAACUGCUUCCAAAACUGUAUCCCUUGAGUAUCGGAGAGGCAAGCGGAAUUCCUAGUGUAGCGGUGAAAUGCGUAGAUAUUAGGAGGAACACCAGUGGCGAAGGCGGCUUGCUGGACGACAACUGACGCUGAGGCGCGAAAGCGUGGGGAGCAAACAGGAUUAGAUACCCUGGUAGU
rnacentral:rRNA from 1 species